AAUAAUCAGUGUUCGUGUAACCAAACCUACCAUCCCAAAUUCUAUCAGAAAGAACUUUGAAGACAUGGAAGUGGAACGUACAAAGGUUUUAAUUGCCGUAGAGAGACAGAGGGUAGUGGAGAAAGAGGCAGAGACCAACAAAAAAAUGGCAAUUAGUGAAGCCGAGAAGAAUGCUAAUGUUAGCAGGAUCCUCAUGGAACAGAAAUUGAUGGAGAAG
rnacentral:misc_RNA from 1 species